rnacentral:rRNA from 1 species
UGGGGGAUAUUGCACAAUGGACGGAAGUCUGAUGCAGCGACGUCGUGUGGGGGAUGAAGGCCUUCGGGUUGUAAACUCCUUUCGCCCGCGGAAAAGGCAGGGUUUUGGCCUUGUUGAUGGUAGUGGGUAAAGAAGCGCCGGCUAACUACGUGCCAGCAGCCGCGGUAAUACGUAGGGCGCGAGCGUUGUCCGGAAUUAUUGGGCGUAAAGGGCUCGUAGGCGGUUUGUCGCGUCUAGCGUUUAAGGCUCGGGCUUAACCCGGGUUUGCGUUGGGUACGGGCAGGCUUGAGUGCGGUAGGGGUAACUGGAAUUCCUGGUGUAGCGGUGGAAUGCGCAGAUAUCAGGAGGAACACCGGUGGCGAAGGCGGGUUACUGGGCCGUUACUGACGCUGAGGAGCGAGAGCGUGGGGAGCGAACAGG